rnacentral:snRNA from 1 species
GGGGGUGCUGCAGUGGCCUCCUCUGUCCUUCUCUGUCCUCCAGGGUUGAGUCAGCUGGGUGAGCAGAAGCCCUUCCUCUCCGGCACGGUUCUUCGCGUCCUCCAGGAGCUGUGCACCCAGCCAAAGAGGGCCACCUUCCCCGUAGACGAGGACUCUUCUCUGGCCAAGGACACAGGGGUAGCUGUGCCUUCCUGUUGGAACUGCGCAAGCUCAGAAGGUUGGGCUCCACUCAAAGUCAACUGUUGGCUGCUCUUGUCCUU